AAUUCCACUCCCUUUUUGCCGGUGCUUCCCAUGGAAUACAAGCAAGAGAAUCUGAGAAGGCUCCAGAGGUCUCAUUUAAACACCUUUGAGUGACGCCAUGCACUUAUUGCAAGUGCUGCAGCUGAACUCGGGGAAUCUGAUCUAGUGGAAGAUGUCUCUGCUCACUGCAAGAGGUUUGGACAAGAUGACCACUGGAGAUUGCUUCCUACUCAAACCAUUCUGUGAUUGUUGAGGCAUUUCCAGUGUCCAGGAUGCUGAUGAAAAUGGAAUCUGCGGUUCUUGUACUUUUGUCAAAAGGUUAUCUUGAAAAUAAACAUCGGCCACAAGAAUGUAAUACUUGCCAGCAACAAUUCUUUAGCAUGCUUCAGUGACCCUGGAAGCAUGUAAAGAUAUGGAUUUCAGAGAACCACACUGACUCUUCCAGAGAAUUGUUUCACUUGCCUAAAAUACCUCCUGCCUACGAGUCUGAAGAAAUAAACAAAAAAAUUAUCACCAGAAAUAGGAGAAAAGAAGAAAAGUAUCAUCCUGAUGAAGUAAGAGCGAAAUAGCUCUGCUUUUUCCAUCAAAAGAAGGAAGUAGAUAAAAGGAGAAAAUCUUUUUCCUGCAUAAAAAGUUAGGGGUGUGUGUGGAGGAAGCCUUUUCAUAAGGAGGAAAUGAAAGAUGAGAAAUUCUAAGCAGACACAAAUGAAAGAGAAAUGUCAACUAUGAAGUAAUUAAAGGGAAAAAAAUGUGGUCUGUGUUACUGAAGAUUUGAGGUAAAGAAGAGAGCUUAAAAUAUUCUAGCAAUAUACAUAACAUUGCCUCUGUUCAUAGUUAUGCUUGAAACAAGACCUAUUUUAAUGACUGAGUUCCAUGGCAGGAAGAACAAAAGAAGAACCCUCAGAACCUUUAAGGUGAUGCUUAUCCAGAGUAUUCUGUGGUUUAAAUUGUGUAGUUUUAAAAACAAAAGAGGAUUUAAAAGCUAAAUAAGACUAAAUAUUCCAUUAAAUAGGUGAUAUUGUUAUAAAAAAAUCCCAAACCAGAGUGACUGUUAUAGCCAAAUAUUUUGUGAUAGUACCUUAAAAUAUAUGUUUUCUUUAGAGUAGCAUUUCGAUAGUAUUCUCGAGACAGAAUGAAGGAGAGCUGGUCAGUGACAAAUACAACAGUAAUUUGGUUACUCUGCACAAAAAGACAUUAGUAAACUUUUGACUUAUUUGGACAAAACCAGAAUUCAGGUGCCUAACUCAUACUUUUACAACCAGCUAACUUUAUAUCUUGCCCAGAGACUUCUAAAGGCAUAAGAAAACAUAUUGCUUUUAUUAUGUACACUUUUACUUAAUAAAGAUCAAUGAUAAGUUGAAA